UCGGGUAUAGUGUAACGGCUAACAUUGCCGCCUCUCAUAGAAAAGGACAUAAUGAGUAGAUUCGCGGCAGCUCGGGGUUCGAUUCCCCGUACCCGAA